rnacentral:rRNA from 1 species
ACGAUGAAGAGUUUGAUCCUGGCUCAGGAUGAACGCUAGCGGCAGGCUUAACACAUGCAAGUCGAGGGGUAACAUUGUGCUUGCACAGAUGACGACCGGCGCACGGGUGCGUAACGCGUAUGCAAUCUACCUUUUACAGGGGAAUAGCCCAGAGAAAUUUGGAUUAAUGCCUCAUAGUAUAUAGUUGUGGCAUCACAAUUAUAUUAAAGAUUUAUCGGUAAAAGAUGAGCAUGCGUUCUAUUAGUUAGUUGGUAAGGUAACGGCUUACCAAGACUACGAUAGAUAGGGGCCCUGAGAGGGGGAUCCCCCACACUGGUACUGAGACACGGACCAGACUCCUACGGGAGGCAGCAGUGAGGAAUAUUGGACAAUGGGCGAGAGCCUGAUCCAGCCAUGCCGCGUGCAGGAAGACUGCCCUAUGGGUUGUAAACUGCUUUUAUACAGGAAGAAACACUGCUACGUGUAGCAGCUUGACGGUACUGUAAGAAUAAGGAUCGGCUAACUCCGUGCCAGCAGCCGCGGUAAUACGGAGGAUCCAAGCGUUAUCCGGAAUCAUUGGGUUUAAAGGGUCCGUAGGUGGACAAUUAAGUCAGAGGUGAAAUCUUGCAGCUCAACUGUAAAAUUGCCUUUGAUACUGGUUGUCUUGAGUUAUUAUGAAGUAGUUAGAAUAUGUAGUGUAGCGGUGAAAUGCAUAGAUAUUACAUAGAAUACCAAUUGCGAAGGCAGAUUACUAAUAAUCAACUGACACUGAUGGACGAAAGCGUGGGUAGCGAACAGGAUUAGAUACCCUGGUAGUCCACGCCGUAAACGAUGGUUACUAGCUGUUCGGACUUCGGUCUGAGUGGCUAAGCGAAAGUGAUAAGUAACCCACCUGGGGAGUACGUUCGCAAGAAUGAAACUCAAAGGAAUUGACGGGGGCCCGCACAAGCGGUGGAGCAUGUGGUUUAAUUCGAUGAUACGCGAGGAACCUUACCAGGGCUUAAAUGUAGAUUGACAGGACUAGAGAUAGUUUUUUCUUCGGACAAUUUACAAGGUGCUGCAUGGUUGUCGUCAGCUCGUGCCGUGAGGUGUCAGGUUAAGUCCUAUAACGAGCGCAACCCCUGUUGUUAGUUGCCAGCGAGUCAAGUCGGGAACUCUAACAAGACUGCCAGUGCAAACUGUGAGGAAGGUGGGGAUGACGUCAAAUCAUCACGGCCCUUACGUCCUGGGCUACACACGUGCUACAAUGGUAGGGACAGAGAGCAGCCACUGGGUGACCAGGAGCGAAUCUAUAAACCCUAUCACAGUUCGGAUCGGAGUCUGCAACUCGACUCCGUGAAGCUGGAAUCGCUAGUAAUCGCAUAUCAGCCAUGAUGCGGUGAAUACGUUCCCGGGCCUUGUACACACCGCCCGUCAAGCCAUGGAAGUUGGAAGUGCCUGAAGUCCGUCACCGCAAGGAGCGGCCUAGGGUAAAGUCGAUAACUAGGGCUAAGUCGUAACAAGGUAGCCGUACCGGAAGGUGCGGCUGGAACACCUCCUUUCU